GUGCCAGCCGCCGCGGUAAUACGAGAGGUCCAAACGUUAUUCGGAAUUACUGGGCUUACAGAGUUCGUAGGCGGUUCUACAAGUGAGGUGUGAAAGCCCUCGGCUCAACCGAGGAACUGCGCUUCAAACUGUAGAACUAGAGGGAGAUAGAGGUGAGCAGAACUGAUGGUGGAGCGGUGAAAUGCGUUGAUAUCAUCAGGAAUACCGGAGGCGAAGGCGGCUCACUGGGUCUCUUCUGACGCUGAGGAACGAAAGCUAGGGGAGCAAACGGGAUUAGAAACCCCCGUAGUCC
rnacentral:rRNA from 1 species